rnacentral:rRNA from 1 species
CUUCAUGAAGCUGGAAUUGCUAGUAAUGGCAGGUCAGCAUACUGCCGUGAAUACGUUCCCGGGCCUUGUACACACCGCCCGUCACACCAUGAGAGUUGGAAAUACCCGAAGCCUGUGAGCUAACUGUAAAGAGGCAGCAGUCGAAGGUAGAGCCAAUGAUUGGGGUGAAGUCGUAACAAGGUAUC